CUCAUUCUUGUUAAUUUUAUACAAUACCUUGGUUCUAUAUUAUCUAUUUUUUCAAUCACAAAUUAGAAAUUAUUAUGAUUGCUUUAGUGAGUCCAUACAUUCUUAGAUUUACUCACCCAUUUUCUAUCACUUUUGCUUUCUAUUCAUUUAUGUAUCUCAGAUUUGCUCUCUAGAGUAAUUUCUCUUCUCUCUGAAUUUUACCUUCUCAGGUUUCUUUUAGGAAAGAAUGGUAGUAAAUUUCAGAGUUAUUCAUCUUUAUUUUACCCUUGCCCUUGAAAGACAGUUUCACACAGUUUAGAAUUUAGUGAUUUUUUUUUUUUGUCCACACUUCAAAUGGUUCAGUUUGGCUUAGAAUGUCCUCACCAUUGACUGUCCAUAAUGCAGCUGUGAUCUCAGCCUUGUUCAUUUCAGAAGACCCAUACAGAAUGGCCUUUUAAAACAUCUUCCUAAGAUCUAGGGAAAAUAUUUGAAAGAAAUUGCAAGAUUAUGCCCUUAGAUAAUUGCACUCAGUGAAUCCCUUUUACUAUAAUUUUUGACUCCUACAAAUACCAAAUCCUGAGAGAAGUGAUUUCAUAAUUUUAUAUAGUUUUUCUGUUAGAAAUGCAUCAACAUAAAGAUGUGUAUUAGUUUCCUAGGGCAGUGGUAAUAAAUUACUACAAACAGGGUAGCUUCAAACAAUAGAAAUUUAUUAUCUCUCAGUUCUAGAGGCUAUAAGUACAAAAGAAACCAAGGUGUGAGCAGGGCCUCAGUGCCUCCGAAGACUCUGGGAAAGCGUCCUUCCUUGCGUCUUCUGGUUUCCUGUGGCUCCACGUGUUCCUUCAUUUGCGACUGCAUGACUUCAAUUUCUACUUCACAUGACCUUCUUCUUCUGUCUCAGUAUCUCUCCUUUUUUGUCUCUUAUAAAGGCCUAUGCUAAUCCCAGAUGAUCUCAUCUUAAAUCCUUACCUUAAUUAUACCUACAAAGACUGUCAUUCCAAAUAAGGUCACAUUCUGAGGUCCUGAGCAGAUAGACCUAUUGGUAGCCACACUUCAAGCCGCCACAAGAUGCCUCAGCAUUUGACGAAAGCUGUAGAAAAACCGAGCUUGAGAUUACAUACAUUUUUAUUCUAAAACUCUAAAAUGUGGCAGUAGAAAAACCAGACUUUUAACUAGGAGUUAGGGUUUUCUAGUUUUUUAAUAAAUUUCUUAAUUUUGUCAUUGGAAAGUUGAAAUAAGUGAUACAUUUUACCAGCUCAUGGUGAUUCAGCUGACAACACUUUUCUGUUCUCUCAUCUAUGUGGCUUCUGGAGUCAGCACUCAGGAUGACAUGAGCCCAUUGUUACCUUUUGUGUGAUAAUUACAUCUGUUAGGCAUUGACAGAUUUGCCUGAUGGACAAGUCUCCAUACUAGAUCUAUAACUUACAAGGAUACUUGAAACCACUAAGAAAUUGUACUUUCUAGAGAAGUUAUAUUAAAUACAGUUCCAAAGAUUUCAUUUCCUAUAGAGAACACUAUGGGAGAGUAAGAUGAAAUAGAGUUUUGAAAGAUGCUGGGGUCAAAUUUUUUCCAGCUCUUGUGGUCUCCUUCUAUUAUAAGGAAUUUUGGUGAAUGCAGUCUAGAAAGUAUGUGUUGUCAGCCUUCUCUCUUCUAUCAUUUCUCAGCAGAGUGGAGUCAUCCUUAAACUGUCAUCUCUCCUUUAUAGAGUUGAAACAAUUAUGUAAGAACAUAGAGGUUUCAUGCGGUUUUUGUCACAGUCAGCAUGCCACUGGACAUGUCCAGAGUUAAAAACCAUUAAAAUGAAUUUAAUGCUUGUGAAAGUUGCUGAUGUAGGAAAGGCUAUGUCUUAUUUUGUUGGUUUUUUAAAUUCAAUUGUCUGUAUAGAGAGCAUCAGAUUCUCUCUCUCUCUCUCUCCUUUUUUUUUUUUUGACAAUUUAUUUUACUUAUAAAGGGGCUAAUUCCUUGAGCUCCAAGAAUAUCAUCCAUUUUUUAUGCCAACAAAACCACUUAUAAAAUUCUUAUAAAGAAGUCGGAAGUAUUUUAACUAAUUCAUUUGUAUGACAUGAACAGUAAGUCUAGACUAUCUUAUGGACAGAAUGUGUUAGGUUCAGAGAGUUGAUUCAAAGGCUAGAUGGCUACAUUUUAGGCAAAUAACUGAGUGGAUUUUCCUCCUAGGUGUCAGUUCUCUUCUGAAGACAUUCUGGCAAUUGGUAGCCCCUCAAGGGACUUUCAAGUGUCUAGGUUGUUUAAAUGUAUGUGCCCAUUUACAAAAGUGAUUUAGGCCUUCCUUUAAUCGUUUCAGAUCUUACAAAUAACUAUACUAAAAAGUUGCCGUUGAGGCCAGUUUGGGGGAAAAUAUACAGAAUAGAAUACAGAACAGAUACAUGCUAGAAUUUUAUAUCCAGAAAAUAUCCUAAAGAUGAUCUAGCUCUUGUUCAGACACCCUGCAUGGCCACCCAAGGGCCGUGUUCACCAUUCUGCUCAUUGCAUAUAAUAUGACGCUGGCCUUGAACCAGACUUUUAUGCACUGAAGCGAAGACAAAUUUCCAAGAUGCCAUCCCACUGAAAUGGUCCCUUUCAAAUGCUACCUUGGGAGACAUUAACAGUAUUUUGUAAUACCAAUAGUAAUCAGAAAACCUUUAAAUCUUAAAACUAGCCACUGUUGGUUAUCUCAUCUGCUCAAGAAUAGCAGAAACACAACUGAGAUAAUUUUUGAGACUCCUCUGAGCCCAUCUGAUAUCCCUGGCAAGCCUAUGGAAGUGAGCUAUUUUCAGCCUGUGUUUUAAACCCUUCUGCCAGAGUGCCAGCCCUGGCCCAAGAGUUAGGAUCCAGAAAUAUAAAACUCUAAGAAUGUUUCUCUCUUCAAAUCAAGGGGGAUAUUAAACUCUGUAGGGCAGAUUUAAAGCAUUCAGCAGAAGGGCUUUUACAUACAAAUACUAAACCAUAAGAGUCUUGCAUAGAGUAAUCCGUUGGGGUUUUAAAAGUAAAGGAAAAAUCUGAACUUUGAAUGCUGAGUUAGACUUCACCUACCAGGGGAAUUAAUCUGGAAGCUCUCUGAUUUUUUCAGUUAAAAGCUAUCUUGUCUGUUUUUACAGAAAAGAACACUGAACCAUUCAGUACACUACAGGGGAUGCUACAGGGAACUCAAGCAAAUAUAAAAUAUGGCACCUGUCUCUGAAACCCUUACAUGACUAUUUACAGACGAGAAAACUGAAAACAAUAAAC